rnacentral:ncRNA from 2 species
GGUCACGAGUGACAGCGAUCAAGGCCCCGGCCCGCUGUCCGGCAACCCUCCUUUCCGUGGUGGGGUGCCCCGGGUGAUGACCGGGCCGCAUGGCAGCAAGGCCGUGCGGCAAGCACGGAUC